UAAAAUACACGGAACCCCCUUAUGGUUUCGCGAAAAGACACCUUACCCCCCUAUCGUUUAGAAACCUACGUAUAAACACCCUAAACUUCAUAACUAAAGUGGAAAUUGACUUUUUAACUGGCUGAGUUACCGGUUGUAGGUCGAAUACCUUUGUCUCUCCAAAAGAAAAAGAAGAAAAAAAAAAGAAAAAAUUGUUACAAGAGCAUCUUUAAUGCUUUUUACUUCCAUCUGUAACUCCUAAAAGAAAGAGAAUGCCCAUCAGAAGCUAUCGAAACUCUUGAGAUGGUCGGUGCUUUGGCCAAUGGAAAUGAAAUCUUUAGCUUGCUUCCGCCGCUUUAAGAAGACCAGAGGAAAGAUCUUUUCUUUACCCGGGCCUUAAGGCAGAGGACAUUCUUUGGUUGGUUGGUGAAGUGCCCUUAAGAGGAAGACCGAAGGCCGAAGCUUAAGAUUGAAUUCAAUUCCCACUUGUAACUCAUAAACGAAAGAGAAUUUCAUCCAAGGAGUGAGGAGUGAAAAGCUAUUGAAUCAGCUGCUCUUGCCGGGUAUGCUGUGCGUUAAGAAGCGAAUUAGGCAGAGACAGGGAAAGGCAAUUCGAAUUGGAAAGCUUUAGAUUCCGGCGUUAUCCUUUUCUUUCUUUUAGGUUACAUCCAGUAAUAAUAAAAGACACUCAAGAUGAGAAGAGGAAGAAGAAGCUUACCCGUGUGUUGAACUCGGGGUCGGAACUCAAUCGAAUGAAAAGGAUCGGUCAACUGGCAAUUGGAAUGCCUUGCUCUUCUCUGAAAGUACUUUCCCUUCCUUACUUGUUUCAUUUUGUUACCGCCCCUUAGAUUCCUCGAGCUUGUAAACAUGACUCUUUCCAUAAAGCAUUUCUCGUCUGUCACCCAGUUUGAUUGACGGUG
rnacentral:lncRNA from 1 species